UACGUAGGGUGCGAGCGUUUAAUCGGAAUUACUGGGCGUAAAGCGUGCGCAGGCGGUGAUGUAAGACCGAUGUGAAAUCCCCGGGCUUAACCUGGGAACUGCAUUGGUGACUGCAUUGCUGGAGUAUGGCAGAGGGGGGUGGAAUUCCACGUGUAGCAGUGAAAUGCGUAGAGAUGUGGAGGAACACCGAUGGCGAAGGCAGCCCCCUGGGCCAAUACUGACGCUCAUGCACGAAAGCGUGGGGAGCAAACAGG
rnacentral:rRNA from 1 species